GCAAAAGGUUUUUUUUGUUUUUUACAGUGAGCAUCCACUGGCUACUCACUGUUUACUAGACAUGUCUCUACUCGCAGUAUAGCGAGUAAGGGCAGAAUUUACUAAUACCAGAACACUGGUGAGACCUCACUUGGAGUAUUGUAUGCAGUACUGGAGACCAUAUCUCAAGAAGGAUAUUGAUAUUUUGGACAGCGUUCAGAGAAUGGCUA